rnacentral:lncRNA from 1 species
AAAAUUGUCACAAAAUACAAAUCCUAACAACCUAUAAAAGCAUAUUCUCCAAUCAUUGAUCAAAAUCCAAUCAUUACCUCAUAAUCUCUCCCCUAAUCAUUUCUCCCUCAAAAUCACUAAAUUAGAAUAUGAUAAUUUCCAACAAUCAUCUUCAACCUCUCAAACUCAACAACCAUCUACAAACCUCUAAACCUUCUCUAAAUCUUUA